CAUUGCAUCUGUGACCUGAUUACAUGAAAGAGUAAACCAAUUAUGUUGCAGCCUCUGAAAAUUGCCGUUGAGGAGAACCAGACGGUUCUGGAUGACACACCUGAUAAACUUGGUAUAAAAGUGGUCAAAGUUUCAAACUAUUGGGAAGCUAUAGGUGUCAUUGCAGCUCACAAGGCUGGGGUAGACCCAAAGUCUCUCCGCAUAAAUGGAAUAAAGCAAAUUAGCUCUUCUGUUGUACAUUCUUAUAAUGGCUAUUUAGCUUGAAGUGCGGCAUGCGUUUCUUGAUCCAUUCUGUUUUUUGAGCAUGCCAGUUUUCUGUGUACUACACAAUUUUAUUUUGUAGCCAUUGCUUACAGUCAGAAGGAAGCACUUUUUUUCAACAGUAA